rnacentral:rRNA from 1 species
GUCUACAGCCAUGCCACCCUGAACAAGCCCGAUGUCUGAUCUCAGAAGCUAAGCAGGGUCAGGCCUGGUUAGUACUUGGAUGGGAGAUCACCUAGGAAGAACAGGUGCUGUAGGCA